rnacentral:rRNA from 1 species
AGCUCCAAUAGCGUAUAUUAAAGUUGUUGCAGUUAAAAAGCUCGUAGUCGGAUUUCGGGGCGGGUGUGCCGGUCUGCCGAUGGGUAUGUACUGGUGUGCGCGUCCUUUUUCCCGGAGACCGCGUCUCCUCUUAGCUGAGCGGGCGCGGGAGACGGGAUGUUUACUUUGAAAAAUCAGAGUGCUUCACGCAGGCAGCUUGCUCUUGCAUGGAUUAGCAUGGGAUAAUGAAAUAGGACUUUGGUGCUAUUUUGUUGGUUUCGAGCACCGGAGUAAUGAUUAACAGGGACAGUUAUGGGCACUGAUAUUCAGCCGAGAGAGGUGAAAUUCUCAGACCAGUUGAAGAUC